UUAAGUUAGAAAGGGCGCACGGUGAAUGCCUUGGCACUAGGAGCCGAUGAAGGACGGGACUAACACCGAUAUGCUUCGGGGAGCUGUAAGUGAGCUUUGAUCCGGAGAUUUCCGAAUGGGGAAACCCACUGUUCGUAAUGGAACAGUAUCUUUAUCUGAAUACAUAGGAUAUUGAAGGCAGACCCGGGGAACUGAAACAUCUAAGUACCCGGAGGAAGAGAAAGCAAAUGCGAUUUCCUGAGUAGCGGCGAGCGAAACGGAAUUAGCCCAAACCAAGAGGCUUGCCUCUUGGGGUUGUAGGACACUCUAUACGGAGUUACAAAGGAACGAAGUAAAUGAAGCGACCUGGAAAGGUCCGUCGAAGAAGGUAACAACCCUGUAGUUGAAACUUCGUUCCCUCUUGAGUGGAUCCUGAGUACGGCGGAACACGUGAAAUUCCGUCGGAAGCUGGGAGGACCAUCUCCCAAGGCUAAAUACUACCUAGUGACCUAUAGUGAACCAGUACCGUGAGGGAAAGGUGAAAAGCACCCCGGAAGGGGAGUGAAAGAGAUCCUGAAACCGUGUGCCUACAAGUAGUCAGAGCCCGUUAACGGGUGAUGGCGUGCCUUUUGUAGAAUGAACCGGCGAGUUACGAUCCCAUGCAAGGUUAAGCUGAUAAGGCGGAGCCGUAGCGAAAGCGAGUCUGAAUAGGGCGUUUAGUAUGUGGUUGUAGACCCGAAACCAGGUGAUCUACCCAUGUCCAGGGUGAAGUUCAGGUAACACUGAAUGGAGGCCCGAACCCACGCACGUUGAAAAGUGCGGGGAUGAGGUGUGGGUAGCGGAGAAAUUCCAAUCGAACCUGGAGAUAGCUGGUUCUCUCCGAAAUAGCUUUAGGGCUAGCCUCAUGUUGUGAGAGUCUUGGAGGUAGAGCACUGAUUGGACUAGGGGCCCCCAACGGGUUACCGAAUUCAGUCAAACUCCGAAUGCCAAAGACUUAUCCAUGGGAGUCAGACUGCGAGUGAUAAGAUCCGUAGUCAAAAGGGAAACAGCCCAGACCACCAGCUAAGGUCCCCAAGUAUACGUUAAGUGGAAAAGGAUGUGGAGUUGCUUAGACAACCAGGAUGUUGGCUUAGAAGCAGCCACCAUUUAAAGAGUGCGUAAUAGCUCACUGGUCGAGUGACUCUGCGCCGAAAAUGUACCGGGGCUAAACGUAUCACCGAAGCUGUGGAUUGACAUCUUUGAUGUCAGUGGUAGGAGAGCGUUCUAAGUGCAGCGAAGUCAGACCGUAAGGACUGGUGGAGCGCUUAGAAGUGAGAAUGCCGGUAUGAGUAGCGAAAGACAAGUGAGAAUCUUGUCCACCGAAUGCCUAAGGUUUCCUGAGGAAGGCUCGUCCGCUCAGGGUUAGUCGGGACCUAAGCCGAGGCUGAAAAGCGUAGGCGAUGGCCAACAGGUUGAUAUUCCUGUACCACCUCCCCGCCGUUUGAGUAAUGGGGGGACGCAGUAGGAUAGGGUAAGCGCGCUGCUGGAUAUGCGCGUUCAAGCAGUUAGGCUGAUGAGUAGGCAAAUCCGCUCAUCAUAAAGGCUGAGCUGUGAUGACGAGGGAAUUAUAGUACCGAAGUUCCUGAUUCCACACUGCCAAGAAAAGCCUCUAGCGAGGCGGGAGGUGCCCGUACCGCAAACCGACACAGGUAGGCGAGGAGAGAAUCCUAAGGUGAUCGAGAGAACUCUCGUUAAGGAACUCGGCAAAAUGACCCCGUAACUUCGGGAGAAGGGGUGCUCUGGUAGGGUGUAUAGCCCGAGAGAGCCGCAGUGAAUAGGCCCAGGCGACUGUUUAGCAAAAACACAGGUCUCUGCGAAGCCGCAAGGCGAAGUAUAGGGGCUGACGCCUGCCCGGUGCUGGAAGGUUAAGAGGAGGGGUUAUCCUUCGGGAGAAGCUCUGAAUCGAAGCCCCAGUAAACGGCGGCCGUAACUAUAACGGUCCUAAGGUAGCGAAAUUCCUUGUCGGGUAAGUUCCGACCCGCACGAAAGGCGUAACGAUCUGGGCACUGUCUCAACGAGAGACUCGGUGAAAUUAUAGUACCUGUGAAGAUGCAGGUUACCCGCGACAGGACGGAAAGACCCCGUGGAGCUUUACUGUAGCCUGAUAUUGAAUUUUGGUACAGCUUGUACAGGAUAGGUAGGAGCCUGAGAAGCCGGAGCGCUAGCUUCGGUGGAGGCGUCGGUGGGAUACUACCCUGGCUGUAUUGAAAUUCUAACCCGCGGCCCUGAUCGGGCCGGGAGACAGUGUCAGGUGGGCAGUUUGACUGGGGCGGUCGCCUCCUAAAAUGUAACGGAGGCGCCCAAAGGUUCCCUCAGAAUGGUUGGAAAUCAUUCGUAGAGUGUAAAGGCACAAGGGAGCUUGACUGCGAGACCUACAAGUCGAGCAGGGACGAAAGUCGGGCUUAGUGAUCCGGUGGUUCCGCAUGGAAGGGCCAUCGCUCAACGGAUAAAAGCUACCCCGGGGAUAACAGGCUUAUCUCCCCCAAGAGUCCACAUCGACGGGGAGGUUUGGCACCUCGAUGUCGGCUCAUCGCAUCCUGGGGCUGUAGUCGGUCCCAAGGGUUGGGCUGUUCGCCCAUUAAAGCGGUACGCGAGCUGGGUUCAGAACGUCGUGAGACAGUUCGGUCCCUAUCCGUCGUGGGCGUAGGAAAUUUGAGAGGAGCUGUCCUUAGUACGAGAGGACCGGGAUGGACACACCGCUGGUGUACCAGUUGUCUUGCCAAAGGCAUCGCUGGGUAGCUAUGUGUGGACGGGAUAAGUGCUGAAAGCAUCUAAGCAUGAAGCCCCCCUCAAGAUGAGAUUUCCCAUAGCGCAAGCUAGUAAGAUCCCUGAAAGAUGAUCAGGUUGAUAGGUCAGAGGUGGAAGCGUGGCGACAUGUGUAGCUGACUGAUACUAAUCGAUCGAGGACUUAACCAA
rnacentral:rRNA from 2 species